UACGUGAGGGUGCGAGCGUUGUCCGGAAUUAUUGGGCGUAAAGAGCUUGUAGGCGGUUUGUCGCGUCUGCCGUGAAAGCCCAGGGCUUAACCCUGGGUCUGCGGUGGGUACGGGCAGGACUAGAGUGUGGUAGGGGAGACUGGAAUUCCUGGUGUAGCGGUGAAAUGCGCAGAUAUCAGGAGGAACACCGAUGGCGAAGGCAGGUCUCUGGGCCACUACUGACGCUGAGAAGCGAAAGCAUGGGGAGCAAACAGG
rnacentral:rRNA from 1 species